rnacentral:lncRNA from 1 species
UUGCACAUUCCGAUCAAACUCCUAUCAUUCGGAGUUUAUAAUUUACCCAAUCGAAGUACUUUCGCUAACCACAACCUCAACUAGACCUCGUCUCUCACGAGCCUAUUCUUAUAGUCCAACCAGUCUAAGGUUUGCUAGGUCUACUAAGACUCAACCCUAAACUCUGAUACCACUAUAAUCUGUCACGCCCGGGUACCAGCAGAAGCAUAUCCGGUACGUGCACAGACCCGCCAUACAUCUGCAGUAUAUAAGGCGUCUACAAGAAACAAGUCGAUAGGAGUAAAAUAUAAAAGAAUCC